rnacentral:rRNA from 1 species
GAUGAACGCUAGCGGCAGGCCUAAUACAUGCAAGUCGAACGAUACCAGAGAGCUUGCUUUCUGGGAAAGUGGCGCACGGGUGCGUAACGCGUAUGCAACCUACCUUAAUCAGGGGGAUAGCCUCUCGAAAGAGAGAUUAACACCGCAUAAAAUCACACUUCGGCAUCGAAGAAUGAUCAAAUAUUUAUAGGAUUAAGAUGGGCAUGCGUGACAUUAGCUAGUUGGUAAGGUAACGGCUUACCAAGGCUACGAUGUCUAGGGGAUCUGAGAGGAUGACCCCCCACACUGGUACUGAGACACGGACCAGACUCCUACGGGAGCAGCAGUAAGGAAUAUGGUCAAUGGGGGCAACCCUGAACCAGCCAUGCCGCGUGCAGGAAGACGGCCCUAACGGGUUGUAAACUGCUUUUAUACGGGAAUAAAUCUCGCUACGUGUAGUGAGUUGAAUGUACUGUAAGAAUAAGGAUCGGCUAACUCCGUGCCAGCAGCC